UACGAAGGGUGCAAGCGUUAAUCGGAAUUACUGGGCGUAAAGCGCGCGUAGGUGGUUUGUUAAGUUGAAUGUGAAAGCCCCGGGCUCAACCUGGGAACUGCAUCCAAAACUGGCAAGCUAGAGUAUGGCAGAGGGUGGUGGAAUUUCCUGUGUAGCGGUGAAAUGCGUAGAUAUAGGAAGGAACACCAGUGGCGAAGGCGACCACCUGGGCUAAUACUGACACUGAGGUGCGAAAGCGUGUGGAGCAAACAGG
rnacentral:rRNA from 1 species